CCUACGGGAGGCAGCAGUGGGGAAUAUUGGACAAUGGGCGCAAGCCUGAUCCAGCCAUGCCGCGUGAGUGAUGAAGGCCUUAGGGGUGUAAAGCUCUUUCACCGGAGAAGAUAAUGACGGUAUCCGGAGAAGAAGCCCCGGCUAACUUCGUGCCAGCAGCAGCGGUAAUACGAAGGGGGCUAGCGUUGUUCGGAAUUACUGGGCGUAAAGCGCACGUAUGCGGAUAUUUAAGUCAGGGGUGAAAUCCCAGAGCUAAACUCUUGAACUGCCUUUGAUACUGGGUAUCUAGAGGAUGGAAUAGGUAAGUGGAAUUCCGAGUGUAGAGGUGAAAGUCGUAGAUAUUCGGAGGAACACCAGUGGCGAAGGCGGCUUACUGGUCCAUUACUGACGCUGAGGUGCGAAAGCGUGGGGAGCAAACAGGAUUAGAUACCCGGGUAGUC
rnacentral:rRNA from 1 species